rnacentral:rRNA from 1 species
CUUGAGGAUGCACACCAUGCUACUGUUCGCUGCACUAAAGCUAGAGCUCUCAGAGAAGCAAUGAGGGGGGUAUGGUCUUUGCUGAAAGAAGAUUGUUUCGCUUGCUCCGGUCCCGAUUGGAUGUUGAUGUUACUUAGCCAAUGUGACAGCACCUCCAGAGAUAAGAUUUUGUUGUUGUUAUGGAGAGCCUGGUAUUUACGCGACGACAUUGUGCAUCAUGAAGGUACUGUCUCCAUCGCCGAAUCUGUCAUCUUCUUGUCUAAUUACUGGAACUAUCUUAUGGGAGGCAUUAAUUCAACGGAUGACUUAAAGGGCAAGAGUCCUGUGGUUGAAAUGCCUAGAGCAAAACAAGAGUUUAGUGCUCAUGCAUCCAAUGCU